AGCAGUGGGGGAAUAAUUGGACAAUGGGCGAAAGCCUGAUCCAGCCAUGCCGCAUGAGUGAAGAAGGCCUUCGGGUUGUAAAGCUCUUUUAGUGAGAAAGAUAAUGACGGUACUCACAGAAGAAGUCCUGGCUAACUCCGUGCCAGCAGCCGCGGUAAUACGGAGAGGGCUAGCGUUAUUCGGAAUUAUUGGGCGUAAAGAGCGCGUAGGCUGAUUAGUAAGUUAAAAGUGAAAUCCCAAAGCUUAACUUUGGAAUUGCUUUUUAAAACUGCUAGUCUAGAGAUUGAAAGAGGAUAGAGGAAUUCCUAGUGUAGAGGUGAAAUUCGUAAAUAUUAGGAGGAACACCAGUGGCGAAGGCGUCUAUCUGGUUCAAAUCUGACGCUGAGGCGCGAAGGGCGUGGGGAGCAAACAGGGAUUAGAUACC
rnacentral:rRNA from 1 species